GAUGAACGCUGGCGGCGUGCUUAACACGUGCAAGUCGAACGAAGCAUUUGCGACAGAUUUUUUCGGAAUGAAGUUGCUUAUGACUGAGUGGCGGACGGGUGAGUAACGCGUGGGUAACCUGCCUUGUACUGGGGGAUAGCAGCUGGAAACGGCUGGUAAUACCGCAUAAGCGCACAAUGUUGCAUGACAUGGUGUGAAAAACUCCGGUGGUAUAAGAUGGACCCGCGUCUGAUUAGCUAGUUGGUGAGAUAACAGCCCACCAAGGCGACGAUCAGUAGCCGACCUGAGAGGGUGACCGGCCACAUUGGGACUGAGACACGGCCCAGACUCCUACGGGAGGCAGCAGUGGGGAAUAUUGCACAAUGGAGGAAACUCUGAUGCAGCGACGCCGCGUGAGUGAAGAAGUAAUUCGUUAUGUAAAGCUCUAUCAGCAGGGAAGAUAGUGACGGUACCUGACUAAGAAGCUCCGGCUAAAUACGUG
rnacentral:rRNA from 1 species